rnacentral:lncRNA from 1 species
CUUUGGGUAAACCUACAAACCAUACAGUACUGAAAUUGAAACAAAGAACAUGGAACUGGUUUCUCCCACGGGCUUGCAAUCUUGGAGGGUAUUUCUCAGUCUGUCCCUGCACCGAAAUGGACUCUUCCUUCGGAGAGGUGUGACCAAGUCUCUUCUCUCGGUGGACGGACUAUACCAGACUUAUCAGUAGCUCGGGACACAUCCUGGACUUAUGACAUUAAAUAUCCAUAAUGUUUUUUUCACAUCCAAACAAAAGGAAUUUAGUCAUUUGUCCAUAACAAUUUAUUUUAUAUAUAUUGUAUUAAUAUUUUCUGUUUUUCUAUUUGCUGUUAAACUGCCACAAUGUUCAACUUUCUUUUUUUUUGGUCUUGUUUGGGUCUUGUUGAUAUUAACAAUUUGUACUACUAUCUUUAUUUGAACUGUGAAAUAUGGUCAGAAGUUCCAG